UAGCGUCUCCCUUCCGCCCCAACACUCAAUCCCACUUUCCACUUUAAAGUCCUUCCACAGAUAUUUUAUGUGUGUUUUAUAAACAUCUAAAUAAAUGGUAGUAAUGGUAGCAUGUCAUAGAUAUGCCAUUCUACACCUGAUUUUUUCAGUUAGCAACAUAUCUUGGAGAUUUUUUUUUUUUAAUAUCACUUCAGAAUGAUCCACACUGUGUUCCAAUCACUUUUAUGAUCAUCUCUUAAAGUUGGCAUCGUUUACUGCUUUAUGGUAAAUAGACCCAGCACCUUGGCCAACAGUGAGAACAACCCCAGCCAAUGUGGAUGCUAACUGAGGACCAGCCAUGUUCCAGGCACAGCGCUAAGCAACUUCUCUGCUCUGUCUGGUGCAAACACCACUAACUCCCAAAUUAUAUCACCCCCAUUUUACAGAUGAGAAACCCGUGCCAGGCUUAGAACCAAAGCAAUGUGUUUCCAGUGCCCAAGAUGGUAAGUACUCUGCAAAGUCCAGAAGCGACAUGCCAUUGCAAGGGUAGCCACUGCCCUCAGGAGAUCAGAGAUUUGGACACAGACCCAGUAAUUCUGUUUCUUGUCUUUUACCCAGGGGCUAAAUACUCCCAGGAGAUACAUUAUGCUGACCCCGUGUUCCAGCAAGUGGCACCAAGAGAUCAGGAAAACAGUAAUAAUUCUAAAGAUGGAUACGUCUAUUCUGAACUUGUCCUCUGAGAUUUAAAGAUGUAGGCUACAUCUCAGGGUUUUCUAACAAUCUGGAGACCAGACAACUACCGCUGCUACUGUUAGCGUUGUUGCCUUCGGUACAACUGCCUCACCCAGAAACUGGAGCCCAGUGGAGUGUGGAGUUCUGCCAUUAGAGACACUUACUUUUCAGCAGAAAUCAUCAUCUCCCUUCUCCUUUCCAGGUCCUAUGGAUAUGUGUCUAAUUGGUGGAAGAUAUUCACAGUCAUACCCUGGCAGCAAGGGAAUUGCAAUUUUUCAGGUUUCAGACCCCACCAAAUAGAAGAAGGGUUAUGAGGUGGCUUAAGAGAACCAACCAAAAUAACUACCACUUUAGCUAAAAUACCAAUCAAGAACUGAGGGGGAAAUAAACACAUUUUAAGACAAAGGAGGAGGUUUCUC
rnacentral:lncRNA from 1 species